CCAAAGGCUCUUUUAAGAGCCACCAAAUUGUCCGUAUUAGAGCUG
rfam:Neotoma lepida isolate 417 scaffold_786, whole genome shotgun sequence.